GUGUCAGCAGCCGCGGUAAGACGUACCACCCAAACGUUAUUCGGAAUCACUGGGCUUACAGAGUCCGUAGGCGGCUCGGAAAGUUGGGCGUGAAAUACCUCAGCUCAACUGAGGAAUUGCGCUCAAAACUACCGAGCUGGAGAGAGACAGAGGUGAGCGGAACUGAUGGUGGAGCGGUGAAAUGCGUUGAUAUCAUCAGGAACACCGGUGGCGAAGGCGGCUCACUGGGUCUUUUCUGACGCUGAGGGACGAAAGCUAGGGUAGCGAACGGGAUUAGAUACCCUCGUAGUCC
rnacentral:rRNA from 1 species